GAUGGCAGUACAGCAGAUCACACUCAAGACGUGCCGAGACAUGAAUUACCAUUUCUACCACAUGGGAAAGUUACAACAUCCUUCGAUGAAAAUGGACUAGACGAUACUGAUAAUAAUAAUGGUUUUAUGCAAAAUGGCAGUACGGCAGAUCACUGGACGCAUGCUGAGACAUGAAUUAACGUUUCUACCACAUGGGAAAGUUACAACAUGCUACGAUGAAAAUGGACUAGACGAUACUGAUAAUAAUAAUGGUUUUAUGCAAUAUGGACGUAUAUCAUAUCACUCAAGGCAUGCUGAUACAUGAAUUCACAUUUCUACCAGUUAGGAAAGUACCAACAUCCUAUGCUGAAAGUGGACUAGAAGAUAAUGAUAAUGAUAUUGGACUUGUGCAAUAUGGCAGUACAGCAGAUCACUCAAGACGUGCCGAGACAUGAAUUACCAUUUCUACCACAUGGGAAAGUUACAACAUCCUUCGAUGAAAAUGGACUAGACGAUACUGAUAAUAAUAAUGGUUUUAUGCAAAAUGGCAGUACGGCAGAUCACUGGACGCAUGCUGAGACAUGAAUUAACGUUUCUACCACAUGGGAAAGUUACAACAUGCUACGAUGAAAAUGGACUAGACGAUACUGAUAAUAAUAAUGGUUUUAUGCAAUAUGGACGUAUAUCAUAUCACUCAAGGCAUGCUGAUACAUGAAUUCACAUUUCUACCAGUUAGGAAAGUACCAACAUCCUAUGCUGAAAGUGGACUAGAAGAUAAUGAUAAUGAUAUUGGACUUGUGCAAUGUG